AUGUCAAAUUUCUAGUAUGAGAAAUUAACGAUUUAAGUCCUUCUUAAAUGAGGCCAUUUACCCACAGAGGGUGCCAGGCCCGUAUAACGUUAAUGAUUACUAGAUGGCAUUUCCAAAGAGUCGUGUUGCUUGAUAGUGCAGCACUAAGUGGGUGGUAAACUCCAUCUAAAACUAAAUAUAACCAUGAGACCGAUAGUAAACAAGUACCGUGAGGGAAAGUUGAAAAGAACUCUGAAUAGAGAGUUAAAUAGUACGUGAAACUGCUUAGAGGUUAAGCCCGAUGAACCUGAAUAUCCAUUAUAGAAAAUUCAUCAUUAUGAUUUUAAUAUUAAUAAUAUUAUAAUAAUGGUGUGCAUUUUUUCUAUAACGGACAUUGUAAUCUAUUAACAUAAAUAUAUUUAUCAUAAGAUCAAUGAUGCGUAAGUUUAUUCAAAUUAUUUUGCUUGCAAUUUAACAUAGAAUAAAUGCUCUUGAUUUGAUAAAGUGUUGAUAGAUUUAUUGUAUAUAGUGCUUAAAUAUUUAUAUUUUAUAAUAGCAUAUUAAUCAUUGAUUUUUAUGUUUAUUAUAUGCACUUAUAUGAUUAACAAUGCGAAAGAUUCAGGAUACCUUCGGGACCCGUCUUGAAACACGGACCAAGGAGUCUAACAUAUUUGCAAGUUAUUGGGUAUUAAAACCUAAUAGCGAAAUUAACAUAACUUUAAUGGGAUUAGUUUUUAGAUUAUUUAUAGUCUAUUAAUUCAAUCCCGGGGCGUUCUAUACAGUUAUGUAUAAUAAUAUUUAUAUUAUUUAUACCUCUAACUAGAGCGUACCUUGAGCAUAUAUGCUGUGACCCGAAAGAUGGUGAACUAUACUUGAUCAGGUUGAAGUCAGGGGAAACCCUGAUGGAAGACCGA
rnacentral:rRNA from 1 species